rnacentral:miRNA from 1 species
AUUUACCCCAAGUUCGUUGUC